rnacentral:lncRNA from 1 species
GAAAAUAUUAUGGGUAAAAUGAAAACUUUCUUAUGUAUCUGUGUAUUACCCCUUGUUAAAUUUUAUUAUGGUUGGAACAGAGCUAAAUCGUAAGUUUUGGAUAAAAGAAUUGUUUAGUAUGAACCUUUUAUCUUAAAAAUGAGAGAAAAAAUAGUGUUCCAGCAAUCGUUGUCGAUUUAUAUAAAGUAUUUGGUCACACGUUACGUUCAUUUGAAAUAAAUUAUUUCCUUACCA